rnacentral:rRNA from 1 species
CCUACGGGAGGCAGCAGUAAGGAAUAUUGGUCAAUGGGCGCAAGCCUGAACCAGCCAUGCCGCGUGCAGGAAGACGGCCCUAUGGGUUGUAAACUGCUUUUGAACAAGAGAAAACCUCGGUACGUGUACCGAGCUGAUAGUAUUGUUAGAAUAAGCAUCGGCUAACUUCGUGCCAGCAGCCGCGGUAAGACGAAGGAUGCAAGCGUUAUCCGGAUUCAUUGGGUUUAAAGGGUGCGUAGGCGGCCUGAUAAGUCAGUGGUGAAAUCUCUCAGCUUAACUGAGAAACUGCCAUUGAUACUGUCGGGCUUGAGUACAGAUGAUGUGGGCGGAAUAUGACAUGUAGUGGUGAAAUACUUAGAUAUGUCAUAGAACACCGAUUGCGAAGGCAGCUCACAAAACUGUAACUGACGCUGAGGCACGAAAGUGCGGGGAUCAAACAGGAUUAGAUACCCUGGUAGUCCGCACCGUAAACGAUGAUUACUCGUUGUUGGCAAUAUGACCGUCAGCGACCAAGCGAAAGCGAUAAGUAAUCCGCCCUGGGGAGUACGCCGGCAACGGUGAAACGUCAAAGGAAUUGACGGCUUGAGGACGNGCGAGGACGACACGAGGGAGGAGG